rnacentral:tRNA from 1 species
UAUACCUUAGUUUAGGAAGAAUUUUUGUUUUUGGUGCAAAGGGGUUAAGGUAUAG